CAACCGUAACUGAAAAUUACAAGCAAAACCUCGAAGUUUGGCUUGUAUUUUUAGGUGGUUGAAUCUGUUAGUCCGAAGUUUUCUUUCAGUAUGUAAAUGUGUCUGUUUGCGUGAUAUAUCGUUCUGCCCAAUGAUUUUAUGCAUUGAUGAUUGUAAUUGUGUUUAUACACUAUAUGUUACACAUGUGCAGUAUGAUAUUAAAUUACAUUUUAAUGUAG
rnacentral:lncRNA from 1 species